UACGGAGGGUGCAAGCGUUAUCCGGAUUUACUGGGUUUAAAGGGUGCGUAGGCGGGCCUUUAAGUCAGUGGUGAAAGCUCCGAGCUUAACUCGGAAACUGCCAUUGAUACUAUUGGUCUUGAAUUCGGUCGAGGUUGCGGAAUGUGUCGUGUAGCGGUGAAAUGCUUAGAUAUGACACAGAACACCGAUUGCGAAGGCAGCUAGCUAGACUGACAUUGACGCUGAGGCACGAAAGCGUGGGAUCAAACAGG
rnacentral:rRNA from 1 species